rnacentral:rRNA from 1 species
CCUACGGGAGGCUGCAGUGAGGAAUAUUGGUCAAUGGGCGGAAGCCUGAACCAGCCACGUAGCGUGCAGGAUGACGGCCCUACGGGUUGUAAACUGCUUUUAUACGGGAAUAACGCGCCUUACGUGUAGGGCUUUGCAUGUACCGUAUGAAUCAGGACCGGCUAAUUCCGUGCCAGCAGCCGCGGUAAUACUGAAGGUCCGGGCGUUAUCCGGAUUUAUUGGGUUUAAAGGGAGCGUAGGCCGCAUGUCAAGCGUGCUGUGAAAUGUCCGGGCUAAACCCGGGCCUUGCAGCGCGAACUGGCGUGCUUGAGUCCGCGGAAAGCAGGCGGAAGUAGUCGGGUAGCGGUGAAAUGCUUAGAUAUGACGAAGAACCCAGAGUGCGAAGGCAGCUUGCUGCAGCGGAACUGACGCUGAUGCUCGAAAGCGCGGGGAUCGAACAGGAUUAGAUACCCUUGUAGUC